rnacentral:lncRNA from 1 species
GCGUCUGAGGAGGCGGGAGCCUGCGUUCCUACCUGGUUCGCCUGGGCGCGCAGGGGCUCCGCGGGGGCCGCAGCUCCUAGGGGCGCUGGAGGAGUGAGCCUGAGACCGCGCGGCGGCGACCACGGCCGGAGGAGGAAGCCGCGAGUCUGACUGGGACGCGAGGACUGUGAAGAAGGCAUCUCCCAUGGAGAAAGCUGCCAGGUAAUUUAACAAGGUGCAAAGCGUCAGCCUGAGGAGGAGGGAAGGAUGCUCAGAAAGUUGCCUUCUGAGGACGCAGCGGUGGAGGGGAAUCUAAUGCUUCAGAGGCACGUUUUGUGCCUCUGAGAAUCCGUUGCUUUCUGGUUGAUCCAUCUUCGGGUUUUCUCUCCGUCCUAGUCCCUGUUCUGCCACCAUCCCAUUUUGAAUCUGGUACCCAAGCCCACAGGUACCUGGUUUAUGGUAGCUGUCCACUCUGCAGUGGCUGAAAACACGGAAGAAAAACAUCUUCGCCUGGGGAGGACGCCAUUGCUAGUGCCAUUACGGUCAACCGUUGGAACAAGAUAAACGGCACGCCCAAUCUAGUGAGGAUUUUGGACACGGGGACUCCGACUGGGACCCCACCUAAAACCCGAUCUGCGUUGCCGCCUCGGCGGGGCCUCGCUGUCUUACUGAGCACACAAACCAAGAGAGUCGUUUCUGUGCAGCACUGACAUUCCCAGGGGCACCACCUGCCCACCCACCCUGAGCAUCCCUCUGCUCAGCCUGCUGGAGCCAGGCUUUCCAGGUCAUGCAGUCUUGGACAGGUCAAGUGGGGCAAAGGCAAUGCCAAGGAAGAUGCUGUGUCCCUUCUGACAGGUAAGA